CAUCAACGCCAACCAUCCCGACGGAGACAGUGCCCCUUGCCACGCCACCACCCACCACCCGAACUGGCAUCACCACACCGCCCACCUGCGCCAAAAUUAGUGGUAUGACUCUCAGGAGGAGGGAGAAUAAGAGACAGUGCACUCAAAAGAAAAUGGGAAGAUGUGCUUCUACUGGGCUGAAAAGAAAAUGGAGUCUGAGAGGCGUGAGGAGAGCUGAGGCUGCCUGAGUGAGGAGCAUUGCUAGGGAAGGAAGGUAGGAAGGAAGGAAGGAAGGCACCACUACAAUGGCUGAAGAAGAGAAUGUGAAGGUGGCGGUUUGGGUCCGGCCAAUGAUAUCCUUUUUAAUGCCAAGAAUGAGAUCUUUGG